GAGCUGUCGAAGGUGGGACUGGCGAUUGGGACGAAGUCGUAACAAGGUAGCCGUACCGGAAGGUGCGGCUGGAUCACCUCCUUUCUAAGGAGCA
rnacentral:rRNA from 1 species